rnacentral:rRNA from 1 species
CGGGGAAUAUUGGACAAUGGGCGAAAGCCUGAUCCAGCCAUGCCGCGUGUGUGAAGAAGGUCUUCGGAUUGUAAAGCACUUUAAGUUGGGAGGAAGGGCAGUAAGCGAAUACCUUGCUGUUUUGACGUUACCGACAGAAUAAGCACCGGCUAACUCUGUGCCAGCAGCCGCGGUAAUACAGAGGGUGCAAGCGUUAAUCGGAAUUACUGGGCGUAAAGCGCGCGUAGGUGGUUCGUUAAGUUGAAUGUGAAAGCCCCGGGCUCAACCUGGGAACUGCAUCCAAAACGGGCGAGCUAGAGUAGGGCAGAGGGUGGUGGGAUUUCCUGUGUAGCGGUGAAAUGCGUAGAUAUAGGAAGGAACACCAGUGGCGAAGGCGACCACCUGGGCUCAUACUGACACUGAGGUGCGAAAGCGUGGGGAGCAAACAGG